AGAGCGAAUUGACCUCAAUAUAAUCAAACUUUAAGGUAAGAACGCAUUAUUUUUGAGUGUGUGUAAGUUUUUUUGAUAUUUUAAUUUUCAAGCGAGAUCCGAGGUAUAAUAAUUUUUAAAAUGUGAUAUUUCACAUAGGUAUUCAAAAUAUUUCGCUUGAAAAUUCUACGUUCAUAAACAAAUAAUGUGUUCCUUUUUUUUAUUUGAAUAGUUCGAUAGUAAGUGAACUCACUAUAAUA